rnacentral:rRNA from 1 species
GAUGCUCGAUCUUACCGGAGCAUCCGCCCGAGAACUACGAGCACAAACGCUUAAAACUCUAAGGACUUGGCGGUGUUCCAAACCCACCUAGAGGAGCCUGUUCUGUAAUCGAUGAUCCACGAUAUACCUUACCAUUCCUUGCCAGAACAGCCUAUAUACCGCCGUCGCCAGCCCACCCCGCAUGAAGGUUCAACAGUGGACGCAAUAGCCCUUCCCCGCUAAUAAGACAGGUCAAGGUAUAGCCUAUGGAAUGGAAGCAAUGGGCUACAUUUUCUAGAUUAGAACAAACGGCAAAGGGACAUGAAACGGUCCCUGGAAGGCGGAUUUAGCAGUAAAGUGGGACAAUCGAGCCCUCUUUAAGCCGGCCCUGGAGCACGUACAUACCGCCCGUCACCCUCCUCAAAAGCGACCCCCCCCCCCCCCCCCUAAAAAACUCCCCCCCCCAAAAAAAGGGAAUCCCUACAAAGGGGA